UCAGUGGCUGCAGGUUUGUUGGAGUUCCCUGAAUCAGUGUCAGUGGCUGCAGGUCGGUUGGAGUUCACUGAACCAGUGUCAGUGGCUGCAGGUUGGUUAGUGUCAGUGGCUGCAAGUUUGUUGGAGUUCCCUGAAUCAGUGUCAGUGGCUGCAGGUCGGUUGGAGUUCACUGAACCAGUGUCAGUGGCUGCAGGUUGGUUAGUGUCAGUGGCUGCAGGUUUGUUGGAGUUCCCUGAAUCAGUGUCAGUGGCUGCAGGUCGGUUGGAGUUCACUGAACCAGUGUCAGUGGCUGCAGGUUGGUUAGUGUCAGUGGCUGCAAGUUUGUUGGAGUUCCCCGAACCAGUGUCAGUGGCUGCAGGUUGGUUGGAGUUCACUGAAUCAGUGUCAGUGGUUGCAGGUUGGUUGGAGUUCACUGAAUCAGUGUCAGUGGCUGCAGGUUGGUUAGAGAUUACUGAUUUAGUGUCAGUGGCUACAGGUUGGUUGGA